rnacentral:rRNA from 1 species
GGAUCAUGUUGUUUAAUUUCGAUGAUACGCGAAGAACCUUACCAGGUCUUGACAUCCCCCGCGAUGCUUUAGAGAUAAAGCGGAGGUAUUCGGGGAGACAGGUGGUGCAUGGUUGUCGUCAGCUCGUGUCGUGAGAUGUUGGGUUAAGUCCCGCAACGAGCGCAACCCCUAUUGCUAGUUACCAUCAUUAAGUUGGGGACUCUAGCGAGACUGCCAGUGAUAAACUGGAGGAAGGUGGGGGAUGACGUCAAAUCAUCAUGCCCCUUAUGACCUGGGCUACAAACGUGAUACAAUGGCUGGAACAAAGGGAUGCGAAGCAGUGAUGUGGAGCGAAACCCAUAAAAACAGUCUCAGUUCGGAUUGAAGUCUGCAACUCGACUUCAUGAAGUCGGAAUCGCUAGUAAUCGCGGAUCAGAACGCCGCGGUGAAUACGUUCUCGGGGUUU